UACGAAGGGGGCUAGUGUUGCUCGGAAUUACUGGGCGUAAAGCGCACGUAGGCGGCUUUCUAAGUCGGAGGUGAAAUCCUGGAGCUCAACUCCAGAACUGCCUUCGAUACUGGAGAGCUUGAGUCCGGGAGAGGUGAGUGGAACUGCGAGUGUAGAGGUGAAAUUCGUAGAUAUUCGCAAGAACACCAGUGGCGAAGGCGGCUCACUGGCCCGGUACUGACGCUGAGGUGCGAAAGCGUGGGGAGCGAACAGG
rnacentral:rRNA from 1 species